rnacentral:rRNA from 1 species
UACGGGGGGAGCAAGCGUUGUUCGGAUUUACUGGGCGUAAAGGGCGCGUAGGCGGUCAGCACAAGUCAGUUGUGAAAUCUCCGGGCUUAACUCGGAAAGGUCAACUGAUACUGUGCGACUAGAGUGCGGAAGGGGCAACUGGAAUUCUUGGUGUAGCGGUGAAAUGCGUAGAUAUCAAGAGGAACACCUGCGGCGAAGGCGGGUUGCUGGGCCGACACUGACGCUGAUGCACGAAGGCCAGGGGAGCAAACGGG